rnacentral:rRNA from 1 species
CCUUAGUACGAGAGGACCGGGAAGAGGGGACCUCCAGUGUACGGGUUAUCGCGCCAGCGGUAAACGCCCGGUAGCUGUGUUCCAAGCGGAUAAGUGCUGAAAGCAUAUAAGUACGAAGCCCACCGUAAGAUAAGAUCUCUCAUAGCAUAAGCUAGUAAGUUCCCAGACAGAUCAUCUGGUUGAUAGGUCAGAGGUGUAAGAGUGGCAACAUUUUCAGCCGACUGAUACUAAUAGAACGAGGGCUUUUCCUAA